rnacentral:sRNA from 1 species
AGCCGCACCGGGUCGACGGAUCGGGUCACCGUCAGGAAGUCCCGCAUCACGAUGCCGUGCCGGUUCUC